UUAGUGCACCAAUCACAGCAGACGACGAUGUAACAAGGAGUGGGCUAUUCAGCCGCUCACAGAUACAAUAAAUGAAAAGCAAAACUUCUACACAGGACAGAUAUCAUUUCAUUUUCACAGUUAGGAGAGCGACUGACAGCAUGUGUCUGAAACCACAUCUACAAACUUUGAGCUCCAUGUUUGUUAAGCAAACGUUAUCUUCACAUUUCAGCAAAUCAAACAUGAACGGUCAGCUUUACCUGAAACGGAUUCUUCCCAGUAUGACUGCUGUGUGGUUAUGGCAAUGUCUCAUGCUGCUGAGACUAUGGCAUUCCUACUGUGGAUCUGGGUACCAGUGGUGGAAAGUUACUAAGUACAUUUACUCAAGUACUGUAUUUAAGUACAAUUUUGAGUUACUUGUACUUUGUGUGAGUAUUGUAAUUUUACGCUACUGUACUUUAUACUUCUACAUCACUACAAUUCAGAGGGAAAUAUUGUCGCCUACU